rnacentral:lncRNA from 1 species
CACGUUGGAGGCAAUUACCUCAGGAGAGUUCAAUACUCCAUAGUGCAAGCAACUGCUACUUACCUCAUGCAAACAGGUUGUCUAACUACCUCUUAGCUGGUGAAGAACAAGGAAUCUUAUAAUGAUUUUGUCACCCAUUGCUUAAAAUUGUGAGAGACUACUGAUUACAUGGAGAGAAUGCACCAGAAGAAAGGAAAAGGAAAACAUGAAAAACAAUUUGAAUGAUCCAGAUAAGUUGGACGAAAGUCCUCAAAUACCACAAGAAGAAAAUGAAACUGAAAAUACACAUAACUAUCCAAGUCAAAUAAAUCAACUCAAUGAUGAAUUGUUAGAGAUGGCACAGGCGUUGAACAUUGUUAAUACAAGAGCAGAUUUGGCCACAGAAACAAGUGAAGAUUUGACUGAUGGUGAAGUUGCUGAUCUGGUUAACAAAAUGGAUUCAAUCAAUAAAGCACUUGACUCUCUUGAAGAAAGGAGUGACAGCAUAGUUGAUGAGCUGCGCAAAAUCUUAGCUGAGAAUAAGAGGGCCCGAGAAGAGAUGCAACAAGAAAAAUAAGACAGCACUCACUGUA